CCUACCCUCACAUCCUACCCUCACCUCCAAUCAGGUCACACUCUAUUCUCACAUCCUACCCCCUCACAUCCUACCCUCACAUCCUACCCCUCACAUCCUCCCCUCACAUCCUACCCCCUCACACCCUAACCUCACACCCUAACCUCACACCCUACCCUCACACCCUACCCUCACAUCCUACUCUCUCACAUCCUGCCCCCUCACAUCCUACCCUCUCACAUCCCGCCUCCUCACACCCUACCCUCUCACACCCUACCCUCACAUCCUACCCCCUCACAUCCUACCCUCACAUCCUACCCUCUCACAUCCUACCCCCUCACAUCCUCCUGUCUCCAUCUCACCAACCUUGAUCCAGAAAUGAGAGAGAAAACAUGAUCCUGUGUUUUCCGCCGGACCUCCUCACAUGAAGCACCCGUUGGUUAAUAUCUCGUGUGUUUUGUGUUCCAGGAGGCCAGCAGCGUGCUGACACCUAAAAUCCUCGCUGUAGUUGCAGGGUCAGUAUCUUGUGUUAUUCAAGUAUUGUGUAAACCCUGUACAUGAAGUAUAUGUCAUCGCCCGUACAUGGAGUAUCUCCUACACCCUGCACGGCUGUCUCUGUUUGCAGGCUCCUCCCCUGGCUGCUCAUGUCUCCAGCGUUGAUCGAGGCUAACCUCCUCCGCUGCUACGCUAACUGUAGCCAACCCUACAGGUGUCUCCUGAUGCAGACGGGGCCCCUGUGCCUGGGCGGCGAGCAGGGCGACUGCUGGCUGCUCCACGCCUACCGCGACCUCAUCUUCCUCCUCACCUUCCUCAUCACCCUCGUCGGCAUCACGGUGCGUUGUCCCGACGACCCUCACACCAACUAACCCGACGACACUGGAGGGGAUGCUGAAGUUGACCUGACGGUUGGCGGUUCAGUGUCGGCUCCCGUGGAGGGUUAGCGUCCAUCCAGAACCACACCUCUGCGGGGAUUCAGGCCAACGUGCACAUGGGUUUGGCGCCAUUGUUGUGGUUUCCAGUAGUUCCCUUUUCAUAGUCAGUAAACCAGCGUUGGAGCAGGCGAAGUUCCGCCUUCCGCAAGUGUGAAGCCAGCAGAGAGAGAGCUCUCCCUCUCGUCAGGAAGCAGUCAACCCCGGGCGUUGUACAGGGAGUUUCCCCGGUUUAACCACUCUAUACAUUUGAGUCAAGAAAAGCCCAGACAUGGAAAAUCCUUUGUAUUCAAAGACGAAGUGAUCAGGGGGUUCCCUUACCACAGGAGUCUUUAAAAAGGGAACUGUUUUGGAUCUAUUCAAAUCCUGAUAUUUGUAGUACAUUAAUCCUUCCUAUAUAGUUUAUAUUUUGAUGUGGUCAUCUUCAGAAUCAACCGGGAAUAGAACCACUAACCGGACUAAUCAGCAGAUCGACAGGUUGUUGGUAGUUUGAUGGCCUCGUCAUGCCUCCGUCAGUAUUGAUCGGUACCAUUUCCUGCCUCAGUAUUGAUCGGGACCAUUUCCUGCCUCAGUAUUGAUCGGGACCAUUUCCUGCCUCAGUAUUGAUCGGUACCAUCUCCCGCCUCAGUAUUGACCCGUACCAUCUCCCGCCUCAGUAUUGAUCGGUACCUUCUCCCGCCUCUGUAUUGAUCGGUACCAUCUCCCGCCUCAGGUGCUGAUGGAGAAAGCCCGGCGCAUUCACAGACGGGUCGUGACCUCCGGGGGUUUCCUAGGCGACAGGCAGUGGGCCAAUCUGAGGAUGCUGGACCGACGCAUGCUGCUCUACCCCGCUGUGUUCAUCUUCUGCUGGGGUCCAGGUACCUGGCCUCUGACCCUGGAUCACCUGGUUACUAGUUAGUACUGACCCUAGAUCACCUGGUUACUAGUUAGUACUGACCCUAGAUCACCUGGUUACUAGUUAGUACCGACCCUAGAUCACCUGGUUACUAGUUAGUACUGACCCUAGAUCACCUGGUUACUAGUUAGUACUGACCCUAGAUCACCUGGUUACUAGUUAGUACUGAACCUAAAUCACCUGGUUACUAGUUAGUACUGACCCUGGAUCACCUGGUUACUAGUUAAUACUGACCCUGGAUCACCUGGUUACUAGUUAGUACUGACCCUGGAUCACCUGGUUACUAGUUAGUACUGACCCUGGAUCCCCUGGUUACUAGUUAGUAGUGACCCUAGAUAACCUGUUUACCACUAACCUCAGAUCACCCGGUUACCACUGACCUUAGAUCACCUGGUUACCACUGACCCUAGAUCACCUGGUUACCACUGACCCUAGAUCACCUGGUUACCACUGACCCUAGAUCACCUGGUUACCACUGACCCUAGAUCACCUGGUUACCACUGACCCUUACCCAUCAUCAUCGAGGCUCUUUGAUUGCACUAAGCGGGGUCAGUGUGUAGCUGCAGGCCCUUUUGUGCGUCAGGCCGGCUGAGUGCUGACCGUGUGGGCGUGGCUCUGGUCCUCAGCCGUGUGUGUGACCGCCCUGAGCUGGAUCCGGCCCGCGGCCCUGCAGGGUGCCCUGGCCGCCGCGCUCUACCUCCUCCAGGUAUUAAACAUCACCAACCAUGGAGCAUAUUAUACACACACCGACACACACCGACACACACACACACACACACACACACACACACACACACACACACACACACACACACACACACACACACACACACACACACACACACACACACACACAUGCACACUCACACAUACAUACAUAUAUACAACAAAACUCUUACUAAUAUUAUAUAGAUUGAUGGGAUUGUGUCUAAAGUAACGACUAACGAUGGGAGUGCUGCGCUAAAGGGCCUUAUCUGACCCCCUGAUGCUGAUUAGCUGUUACACGCCUUCUGUCACAAGCCUUCUGUUACAAGCCUUCUGUUACAAGCCUUCUGUUACAAGCCUUCUGUUACAAGCCUUCUGUCACAAGCCUUCUGUCACAAGCCUUCUGUUACAAGCCUUCUGUCACAAGCCUUCUGUCACAAGCCUUCUGUCACAAGCCUUCUGUUACAAGCCUUCUGUUACAAGCCUUCUGUCACAAGCCUUCUGUCACAAGCCUUCUGUUACAAGCCAGAUAGACGGACAGACGGAUAGAUGGAUAGAUAGAUGGACACUUGAUUCAUCCCCUUGGGGAAAUCCAGGUAUCCAUUAGCUCACGAAGUCGGUCAACAGACGGUACAACCGACACACAACAAAAUGGACAAACAGUAAAAGCCAAUCAAACAACUCGUUAAAAACUCUGCAAUAUUGCACAUAAUUGAAAUGUCACCUAGAAUAUAGCGGGAGGAAGGCGUUAGCCGGAGGAAGGCGUUAGCCGGAGGUAGGCGUUAGCCGGAGGUAGGCGUUAGCCGGAGGUAGGCGUUAGCCGGAGGUAGGCGUUAGCCGGAGGUAGGCGUUAGCCGGCGCGUUGGCCUUGGUUCCCCCCUGAGUGUCCCCGUGCCUCUGGCCAGGCGCUGGCGUCCGGGUCCCAGGGCGCCCUCAACAGCCUGGCGUACGGCUGGACGCGCUCCCGGUUCCGCGAGGCCGGGCCGAGGCGGUCGGAGCUGCAGGACGCCACCACCCAGACGCCCCUCCUCCGCGCCCAUAGGCCCG